rnacentral:rRNA from 1 species
UCAGACGAUGCGUCAUGCAUAUCAAUAAGCGGAGGAAAAGAAACUAACAAGGAUUCCCUUAGUAACGGCGAGUGAAGCGGGAAGAGCUCAAAUUUGAAAUCUUCAAGGUUUUACCUUGACGAAUUGUAGUUUAAAGAAGUGUUUUCUGUUGAAGUUUUGGUAAAAGUUCUUUGGAAUAGGACAUCAUAGAGGGUGAGAAUCCCGUAUUUGACCAUUAUUUUCAGCUGUGUGAUACACUUUCAAAGAGUCGGAUUGUUUGGGAAUGCAGUCCAAAAUGGGUGGUAAAUUUCAUCUAAAGCUAAAUAUUGGCGAGAGACCGAUAGCGAACAAGUACCGUGAGGGAAAGAUGAAAAGAACUUUGAAAAGAGAGUUAAACAGUACGUGAAAUUGUCAAAAGGGAAGCGUUUGACACCAGUGUUGUUUUCUCGAAAAUCAAUUAAAAAGAUGUCUCGAUUUUGUAUGUGCUAUGACCUUAACAGCUUGCACUGUACAAUUUUUCUUGUCUUUUUUUAAUGCACUUUUCGUUUAACAAGUCAACAUCAGUUUCUUUUGUUGUAAAAAGGUCAUUGGAAGGUGGCUUUCUUUUCGGAGAAAGUGUUUAUAGCCUUUGACUCCUGCAAUCGGAGAGACUGAGGUCUGCAGCGUAGAUCCUUCGGGGUUAGAUACAUUUGUGCUAAGUUAUAGCUUUUUAUAGACAACUUGUUGACUAUGAUUAGUCUUGUAGCUUACUCGCUUAUGCUAUUUUACCUACGCUUAGGAUGUUGAGUCGUAGAGCACGCAG